UUUUUUUUUUUUAUGUUACCAAACUUUGUAAACCUAUCAAAGAAAUUUUACUUGGCCGGCCUGCCGUCCUCCCUCCCCUCACGUCCUUCUUUCCUUUUUCGCUUCUUUCUUUCUCUCCCUCCCUUCUUUUUUUUUUUUUUUUUUUUGUCUUUUCAGAGCCACACCCACGGCACAUGGAGGUUCCCAGACUAGGGGUCCAAUCCAUUGGAGCUACAGCUGCCAACCUAUGCCAGAGCCACAGCAACACCAGAUCCGAGCCACAUCUGUGACCCACACCACAGCUCACGGCAAUGCCAAAUCCUUAACCCACCGAGCGAGGCCAGGGAUCGAACCCGCAACCUCAUGGUUCCUAAUCGUGACUGCGUCACUUUGCUACACAGCAGAUACUGGUAUAAUAUUAAAAAUCAACUAUACUUUAAUAAAAAAUAAAAAAGCAAAUGAUCUACCAAAGGGAGUAUGACACUUCCCAUCUAAUAUCAUCAGAGUCUCACCUUUAACCCACUGUGCUCAAACCUAUCCUAAAGGAACCGGAUACUCAGACACCCACACACAACAGCUAGUUCAACACCAGAACCGCAAACACACAUUAAAGUGGUGACCACUGUGAAUCACUCGUACUCUUUACCUCCUUUGAGCCUCACAGCCAGAAGGUGAUACGGACAAGGGAAAUCUCAUGCUCUCCAUUUCCCAGAUGAGUACCUUACAAUUCAGCAAGUUGCAAAGCAGUUGUUCAGCGUUACAAGGCGAAACAGCAGAGCUAAGUAGGUCUUACACACAGACUUCUGAUUCCAACACAGAGCUUUUUCCACACACUGUACUAUUUCUCCACAGUCAGGCUCGGUCCUCAGUGGAAAGAUAGGAGCAGCCGAAUCCAAACCCUUGCCUCUGGCGACUGCUCUAGAAUAUGCACACAGUGGGAUAGUGGAUGGGAGCUGAUGGGGAAAGAAGGCUGCCUUCAGGCAGCGGGAAAGCAGCUAGAUUUCCUGGGAAUGUCUGCAUGCUCUAGGCUGGUGUUAGUAGUGAUUGCCUGAGCUCUUGGAGUGGAGAUUAGGCGGGUAGAGAAAAUAAGUACUGAUAAAGAAUUCAACCCCGGGGAGUUCUCUGGUGGCUAAGUGGGUUAAGGAUCUGGCAUUGUCACUGUUGUGGUUCAGGUCACUGCUGUGGUGGAGGUUCGAUCCCUGGCCUGGGAACUUCCACCUGCUACAGGUGUCGGAAGGAAGAGAGGAGAACUUCAACCCCAAGGGCAACACGGGCACCUAUGACAAGUUGCCAUGUGAAGUAGCAGGGCAACUUCUACCUCCAGAAAUUUUACCAGUGUCAUUUCAUUAACCAGGGACAAUGGCCCUUGAUUUAUCACUUAGUCCCUACCUCCUAAGUGUUGCGUUGCAGCUGAGUCGAAACAAAUCCUUACUACCUUCUGUGGUCAAGAGACUUCCAGACACAGACCAGUUUUUCCCAACGAAUUGCUGGCUAAAGGAUCAGCCUCCCACCAGACAGCAUGUUUGCAGGAUACAGAAACUCCAUAAACACCUUUCUAAAAUAAAUUGACCAGAGGUGUUUGUGGCCAAGUUUCUCUGACACCCGAUGUGGACACAUCUGGGAGGAUUAUCUUGCAUGUGUACAAGCUAGAAUUUAAAACCAGUUAAACAUUCUCAUUCUCCCCAGUAAGAGAAAUCUUUUCUCCCUCUAAUUUCACCCUGCAUCCUUGUUACUAAAAUGCUUCCUGCUCUAGUGUCGUGUUUGUUUGUUUGUUUGUUUGUUUUUGCUUUUUAGGGCCACACCCAUAGCAUAUGGAGGUUCCCAGGGUAGGGGCUGAUUUGGAGCUACAGCUGCCGGCCUACACCACAGCCACAGCAACACCGGAUCCAGGCUGAGUCUGCGACCUACACCACAGCUCACAGCAACACAGGAUGCUUAACCCACUGAGUGAGGCCAAGGAUCAAACCUGCAACCUCAUGGUGCCUAGUUGGAUUCGUUCCCACGGCACCAUGAUGGGAACUCCUAAAUUCUAUCUGUUUAAGACUAGGUUUUAUUUCCUCUUUCUUCUCUCAGAGCUCCGAGCACAGGGCAGGCCUCACAGGAGUAUGCGAUGGAUUAGCUGGCUUCUCCCUUUAAGGAAGAUUUCUCUUUAAAAUUCAUUCCAUAGGAUGGUUAAGUCAUGUUCCCUGAAACUGGCCUAGAACAGAUGUAACCCCUUUGGCAUUCUACUCACUGGCUUUGGGGCUUUCAAGGCGCUCAGGUGCCAAAUAGCCAAAGAUACAGCCCCAAGCAACUCAAACAAGCACACUACUUCAUUUGACUUGAAAAAGACACAAAUAAAAAUGACAGGCUAUAAAACACACGUAAACUUCCCACGGCUUUACAAUGCUCUGCUGGUAUAUGCCAGUUCACCGUCUACUGGUAAUGGCGCUUGGCAUGAAUACUUGAGAUGGGAAGGUGGUUUGAGGAAGGCGCCGAAUGCCAGUCUUCCACGUCCCUGCGUCUCAUGAUCGCAUCGCAUUAAGGACAGAUUUCAGUUUUUAAAUUGCUCUCACUUACACUCAAAGCAUCAACCUCAGAGCAGCCAUGGGGCUCUUUUAUUUAUGGGGCACAAAACCAAGCGUUUUCACGGCGGGGGCGGGGGCACAUCAGCCAAUCAGAAGAGCGCAGCUGAUCCCGGGCAGCCCAAGAGGAGAAGGGCAGAUGCAGCCAUUAACACAGUUUCUGAUGAACAAACAUUCCCGUUUGCAUUGUCUUGAUGUCUGCCUGUUCUUACACGCUGUGUCUCGUGGGCAAAGGAGAGCCAAUAUCUGUUUCUGAAAAUGACGGUUAAUCACAUUUUUGAAAAGCACAUCUUAGCAAAGGACAAAAACACUCACAGAUGCAGCUGGAAAACAGAAAGAGAGCAAGAGAAAAGCGGCCACCCUGCCGCCAAAAUAACUCAGGGUGAGCACAGUGUCCUAUGCGGAAGCCUGGCUGAUGUGUAACAUCACCAGAAACGAGGCGGCCAGCUCUGAGUACCAGGGGGACGGAGGGUGUGUUUAGCCUUCGAUGCAAAGUCUGUUCACAGGAAUUCUCCCCCAUACACGCCGCCCAUCAGGCAACAUGCAGCAGUGAUCUUCGCGAAGAAAUGACCGUCGUCAAAGGCUAUCUGUUCAUGCGAAGGCACAGAAUGACAAAGAGAGCUCUAACUUCACACCAAAUUUUGGCCAGUGAACAGAAGUCACUGAAUGACCGAAGAGGCCAGGAGAGAAUAGCCAAAGACCAGGGAAACGGAGACCUUGAAUGAAAAAUCAGGGCAAAUAAAAUGCAGCUAGGUGUUUGGUGGAGACGAGAAUGCCAAGCCAGGGAAAUCGGAUUCUCUUCUCUCGGACAGCAGCCCUCACCGCCUUCCCCCUUCCUCGAGACAGAGUAGAUCUGAAAAUGCCUUUGAUCUCGGGCAGACAGGUUUCAGCACCAAUAGGUUAAAAUAUUUAUGGGCAAUGGCCCGCAAAUUCCAACAAGCCACAUGAAAUAAUUAGAUAGACUGAUGAUUCCAAGGCUACCCACCAGACACCACCAAGUCCAUGGGAUCCGCUUACUAUGCAAAUAUCUACAUACGUGCAAAGGCUUAUUAUUAUAAAUAACUCACUCCGCAGCUGCACACAUACGCUACAGAGAAAAUGACACAUCGCCUGACUAGCACUAAAAGAAGCCAAGUGAAAGUGAUGGAAAAUGCUGGCCUCCAAAAAAACCUGUUUCUCUUGCUAGUAGGUUUUAUUUGGAAUGGAAAAGGAAGUCCCAACUCAAAGGAGAACUCUCUGGCACUCAGUAAACAGGUUAACAGGUGGCAAUGCCAAUGCCAGGAAGCAAGGCUGGCCUUCUGAGAGUCAGAACGGUGCCCUGGAAAACAGAGAAAUCAGCUGAAUCUUCUCGCUGGCUCUGGAGGCAACAGAGGCUGUGAGUGGCUAAAGUCUUGGGUACCACCCAGCUUCCACUCUACAUUCACUAACUGAUCCAGUGCCGACAGGUAACACACUUUGCCAGACACUCUGCCAAGGGGUCUAAAACCCUCACCUUUCACUUUAGUUGAGAGUUUACCCUGCCUCUCCUUGAUCUGGGAUUAGCUUUUGUCCUGGAAAAGAUAUAGAUUUUCUUACAUACACACACGAUUCCCCAGCAUGCUCAUCCAAAGCACCGCUGCUGGGUACCUCAUACCUAGCUCUUAAUCUCAAUUGGCCAGGGAAUUCUUCUCUGCUGCCCCUGACUGCCCAGCUUCACACCCAGGGCUGGUUCCCACCCACACACACUUACUGUCUUGCCCGACUCAGCCCUGAUCCUUAGUUUUGAGCACUUGUCUCAUUUGCACUAUUCCAUCUUUAGCCCUGAUUUCUGCGUUUGGUCUUACUUUAAUUUCCUCUUGUUCAGGCUUCCUGCACAUCGUGCAGGAUUUAUUGGUCCUGAGAAGCACCACCAUCAUUAGAAACAGCAGCAUAUCCAGGUUUUGAGGUGUCCUCAACUCAUGCAUUUGGAGAGGGACUCUCUUUAAUAAAGAGCUUACAGAAAGGUAAACGGAAAACGAGGAACAAAGCUUUGGAGGGGGUCAGGGCAUGUGAGAUGAGCUGGUGCUUAAGUUUCAUCAGUUUCCCAGGAAAUCUGCCCCUGGCUAGAAUGAACUCUGCAAGUUUGGCAGAUGGCCAUCAAAGGGUCAGGACCAAUCUUCUGAGGAGCCCAUCUAUUUCUAUAUCACCUAAGACUUUGUUUUCCUUUAGAAUGUGAGAAUUUUACAAAACUUGCAGGUGUCGAUGCCCACAAGAGGCAUGCAAUCAAUAUUUGCUGAUGUAAAUAAUAAAGUGAUGAUAAGAUGGGAUUAUAGAGGUCCCAAACCCCCAAUGUGUGAACUCUGAGAAAAAAAAGAAACUCCUGGGCCAAUUUAUUAUCUUGGAAGCCAUCGCUGGUGGACACCCAACUGAUACCAUCUGAAGCAGUUUCUAAUCUAUUAGCACCAGAAAACCCUUGAUGUAAGUUAUGUAUAGUAAGAAGCUGACAUUGACCUUGGAAAUGGAGAAAAGGCACACUCACAGGCUAAGUUUAGGCUAAAGGAAUUUGGAGGCAAUGGGUGCAUUUUUCUUGUUCCUCCCACAGUUUCCUCAAGCUACUUCCCUCUGGGAUCUCCCACAUUUGCGCUUAGUAACUUCAUCCUGCCAGGAAGCUCUGCAGCCCCCUCCAGACACUGAACAGAGGACAGGGCUCCCGGCUCCCUUCUGUGUUCUUCGAAGACCGUAGAAUCGGACACUUGGAACGGCUAUUGUAUUCUUGGGGAUUUGUCCCCGGAAGGCCAGGAUUUUUCAAUAUCUGCAAAUAUAUAGCUUUGGGAUACCUAAAGAGUGUCUGAAGAAUGCAUUUCAUUAAUAACAAAAAAAACUAGACAUAUAAGCACUGAUAGGAUAAUAAUGACAAUUAUACUAAAUCUGGCAAAGAAUAAUGUGAUAACAUGGAAUUUUAUAACACUUUGUGACUUGUUUCCAUGUCUGUAGACAUUUUAACAAGUGAACGUCUCCAAUUUUUUGAAAAACAACCAUUCGGUAGUCUCUAAUAAACCAGAGUUCCCUAAAAAUGCUCCACAGUUAGGUAACCUAAACCUCAUAAAAGAGAGAAGUCAAGUCACAUGACUUACCCCUCAAGUGUGGUGUUAGCUUUAUAUAUAGUCUAUCUCCAGAUAAAAGAAGUGGGAGUGGCUUCAUGCCAAAUUCUUGGAGGAUGCUUCAGCCACAUCAGAACCUAAAAUGGCACGAGAGGUGAUUUGCACUACCGGGAGGUGCAUCCGUGUUAGUUUUAACGUCAUUUCCCCUAAAAGAAUGACCAAGUCCACCCCUCAACCUGGCAGUGAGCCUCCUGCCUCCCCUCCUACACUCAAAAGGAGGAGCUGGACCAUGAGCACCGCAGAGGGAUGGAGCAAGUGAGCAGGAGAGGAGGCUCACUAAAAUCAAAGCCAACCAUCAAAGCCAGAAGACACAGAUAUGGACGCUUUACAAUCAUUGC
ensembl:lncRNA